UAGGGAAUCUUCCGCAAUGGACGAAAGUCUGACGGAGCAACGCCGCGUGAGUGAUGAAGGUUUUCGGAUCGUAAAACUCUGUUGUUAGGGAAGAACAAGUACCGUUCGAAUAGGGCGGUACCUUGACGGUACCUAACCAGAAAGCCACGGCUAACUACGUG
rnacentral:rRNA from 1 species